UACGGAGGGUGCGAGCGUUGUCCGGAAUCAUUGGGCGUAAAGGGCACGUAGGCGGCUUCUCAAGCGUGCGGUGAAAGUCAGGGGCUCAACCCCUGAUCGGCCGUGCGAACUGGGGGGCUGGAGCACUGUAGAGGCAGGCGGAAUUCCGGGUGUAGCGGUGGAAUGCGUAGAGAUCCGGAAGAACACCGGUGGCGAAGGCGGCCUGCUGGGCAGUGGCUGACGCUGAGGCGCGACAGCGUGGGGAGCAAACAGG
rnacentral:rRNA from 1 species